GACGAACGCUGGCGGCGUGCUUAACACAUGCAAGUCGAACGGAAAGGCCCUGCUUUUGUGGGGUGCUCGAGUGGCGAACGGGUGAGUAACACGUGAGUAACCUGCCCUUGACUUUGGGAUAACUUCAGGAAACUGGGGCUAAUACCUGAUAGGAGCUCCUGCUGCAUGGUGGGGGUUGGAAAGUUUCGGCGGUUGGGGAUGGACUCGCGGCCUAUCAGCUUGUUGGUGGGGUAGUGGCUUACCAAGGCUUUGACGGGUAGCCGGCCUGAGAGGGUGACCGGCCACAUUGGGACUGAGAUACGGCCCAGACUCCUACGGGAGGCAGCAGUGGGGAAUAUUGCACAAUGGGCGGAAGCCUGAUGCAGCAACGCCGCGUGCGGGAUGACGGCCUUCGGGUUGUAAACCGCUUUCGCCUGUGACGAAGCGUGAGUGACGGUAAUGGGUAAAGAAGCACCGGCUAACUACGUG
rnacentral:rRNA from 1 species